GACGAACGCUAGCGGGAUGCCUUACACAUGCAAGUCGAACGGAGUGGCGAACGGGUGAGUAAUGUAUCGGAACGUGCCCAGUAGCGGGGGAUAACUACGCGAAAGCGUAGCUAAUACCGCAUACUAUUGGAGCGGCCGAUAUCGGAUUAGCUAGUGGGAGGGGUAACGGCUCACCAAGGCGACGAUCCGUCGCUGGUUUGAGAGGACGACCAGCCACCCUGGUAAUAAGACACGGCCCCGACUCCUACGGGAGGCAGCAGUGGGUAUGUUUGGACAAUGGGGGAAACCCUGACCCAGCCAUCCCGCGUGUGCGAUGAAGGCCUUCGGGUUGUAAAGCACUUUUGGCAGGAAAGCGGUACCUGCAGAAUAAGCACCGGCUAACUACGUGCCAGCAGCCGCGGUAAUAC
rnacentral:rRNA from 1 species